GGCGUUCAACCAAUCCCGGAUACUCAUUCUGCGGCACCUGGGCAGAGCUGAGAUCGUACCCAUCGGACGGGAAGAUAUCCUCGAUCUCCAGUUCCUCGGACGGAUCGGGCGCCCCGACCACGAAGCUUACUGGAUUUUCCGACAUGGUACCGGGGGACUUGACAAUACCGUCCUCUCCCGAUCCUUGUUGAUUGGGCACACUGUCUACGCGGUUGGCGUUACCUUCAAAACAGUCGUGUACGUGUCAAGAACAACUAGUCCGACUUUUGUGCCCCGUAGGCGCGCUUCGUUCGCCCGGUAGCGACGAUUAUCGUUUGCAUGGCGGACGAGGUUUCAAAUUCGUUGAACCCAACAUAGAGUGAGGAACAUGCAGAUGAAUAGUGAGCGUCGUGACCGUUUGAUGUCGUCACAGCUCGAAAUUUUUAUAUCCACGUAAGGGUAAAAAUACAGGGUCACGUUAGGCGACAUGAUAGACGAUCGUUAGUUUCUGAGGUAAUAAGUAACGUAUAUGUGUAUACAUUACAUCACAUGUCUUCUGUGCGAGGUACAUUGUCGAGUUUUUAUAACAAAUUACGAGACAGCUUUUUUACAACAGUAAAAAAGAAUAGAAAAGAUGAUAUACGUAUAUUUAGUUGGACGUCCUUCUGAAUUAUACAGGGUGUCCUGUAACUGAUGGAACAAUUGGGAAAAUAUCUGAUCAUACAUGAACAAAUAUAAUAAAUCGAAAACAUAGAAUAUUCUUUUUCAUUGGAGAUCUUGUUUUCGGAGAAAAUGAACAUUGAACAUUUGUUAAAUACACAUAUAAUUGACUAAUUAUCAUUGACUGACCACAAAUGCAAAACUACAUUGUACUAUUGGGAAUUAUUCUACAUUGGAAAAUAAAUGAAAA